rnacentral:piRNA from 1 species
UCCAGUGACCACGAAACUAUAAGGAGCAAGA